rnacentral:rRNA from 1 species
GACGAACGCUGGCGGCGUGCUUAACACAUGCAAGUCGAACGGAAUCCAUGGAGUAGCAAUACUCCGGAAGAUUUAGUGGCGAACGGGUGAGGAACACGUGAGAAACUUGCCCCGGACUUUGGGAUAACAGUUGGAAACGACUGCUAAUACCGAAUACCUUCGGAGGCCCGCAUGGGUCAUCGAAGAAAGAAUUUCGGUUCGGGAGAGUCUCGCGGCCUAUCAGCUAGUUGGUGGGGUAAUGGCCUACCAAGGCAACGACGGGUAGCUGGUCUGAGAGGAUGAUCAGCCACACUGGGACUGAGACACGGCCCAGACUCCUACGGGAGGCAGCAGUGGGGAAUAUUGCACAAUGGGCGCAAGCCUGAUGCAGCAACGCCGCGUGGGGGAUGACGGCCUUCGGGUUGUAAACCUCUUUUAGCAGGGAAGAAGCGAAAGUGACGGUACCUGCAGA